UGGACGAAUGCACUGAGAAUAAUAAAACGUACUAAUUUUUUUUCUAUGUUAUGGGUGCGUGCAUUUGUGUUGUCCGGUGUUUGAAGACGCUUGGAAUUCGCUUUCAAUUUCUUCGUAGGAAAAAUGUCGGGUGAUACCGAUAAAGCGAAAAUCAGUGACAAUCAGGAUGAAGACAAGAAGUCUGGAACGGGUGACGGCCAGACGACAGAAGAUGAGUCCUCCCAGGACUCGAAGGGUGAGUCGCAGGUGUCUCAGGACCCUGCCCAAGCCCCAGGUAACGCCGAUGUAGAUCAACCAGACACCACCAAAGAGGAGAAUAAGUCUAUAGAAGGCGAUUCAAAAUCAACGACGGCCAACGGAAAGGAUGACGACGGAGCAGGAGACGACUCAAAAGAUGACAAGGACGUGAAGUCGGAAGCGGAUUCUAAAAAGGAAGAAAAUGGCGAGACCCAUGAUGAAGAUGAGAAGGAUGACGUGAAAGCCAACGACAAGGGUGCAAAGAAGGCCGCACCUAAAAAGAAACCUAAGAAGGAGGAUACUGAGGAAGAAGAUGAGGAGGAAGAGGAGGAGGAGGAAGAAGAAGAGGAAGAGGAGGGAGAUGAGGGUGACGAGGAGGAAACAAAGAAACCUGCUAAAGAGAAGGCAAAGAAACCAGCAAAGAAAGCUAAAGCUGAUGAUGACGAGGGUGAAGAUGAGGAGGAGGGAGAAGAGGAGGAGGAGGAGGAAGAAGAGGAAGAGGAGGAGGAAGCUCCUAAACCUAAGCCCAAGAAAGAGCCAACAGAGCCGCCAGUCCCAGUGCCAGCCGGUAAGGGUAUCCCACUGGGCCACAUUAGCAACGUGGAAGUAUCACUGUCGCGGUUCAAGACGCAAGACCAGAAACUGUUGCAUCAAUAUCUAUAUGGGCAACUAUGCUUGGACCGUAACGUGAAGCGCAAUAUCAAGAAAUUCAGAGGUUAUGAAUGGGCCAUUGGCUCAUCAGACUACAAAGCCAAGCUGGAAGAAACCACCAAGAUGGAGCCUAAAGCGUUGCGGACUAUGUGCGAGAUGCUUGAUCUUGACAAGAAAGGGUCUGCGUCGGAGCUAUCAGCGCGGCUGGUGGGGUUCCUGCAGCAGCCGGGGCCCAACUCGCCGCACGCGCGCGGCGUGGCCCGCGCCCCGCCCGCCGCGCCGCCCGCCACGCCCGGCGGACGCCCGCGACGCUCCACCGCCGUCAAGGUCACCAACAGAGGCUACUCUGAUGAAGAAUAUGAUACAGACCAAGAAACAAAAAUCAAAGGACCAAAACCACCAAAAGAUGGCUCCGAAGAUUCAGAUGGUUCGUUCAACCCGAGUGGGUCGGAGGAGGCGGACUCAGACUUCGACCCCGAGGCGGGCGAGAGCGCGGCCGGCGCCGGACGGAAACGUAAACCGUCCGGACGACGCCGGUCCUCGGGCAAGGCCACUGGCAAGCGAGGACGCAAGCCUAAAGGGAAGAAGGGACGGCCAAGUAAAGGAGGUCGCGGACGGCGAGCGAAGUCAGAUAGUGAAGAAGAGAGUGAAAAGUCAGAAAGUGAGAGUGAGAACGAGUCAGGAAGCGAGGGAGAAGAGUCUGAUGAGCCUAAGUCUAAGCGCGGUCGGCCGGCGGCGGUGGCGAAGGGUCGUAAAGGCGCCGUAGCUAAGAAUGCGUCCGCCAAGGCGACGCCAGUCAAGCGGAAAGCACCCACACCACCCGCUAAGAAGAAGGCACAAGCCGGUAAGGGCGCGGGUCGGCCAGCUAAGAAGGGCAAGAAGGCGUCUUCAGACGAGGAGUCCGGCGAGGGCAGCGAGGAGGAGGAGGAGGAUGAGGCCAGCGACGAGGAGGAGGACACCGGGGACGAGUCCGACACACCUGCUGACAAGAAGGCCAAGCGGCCGCCUACGGACGAGGAGAUCAAGAAGUACGUGAAACAGAUCCUGGAGGGCGCGAACUUGGAGCAGAUCACGAUGAAGACGGUGUGCAAGCAGGUCUACAGCCACUACCCAGACUUCGACCUCGCGCACAAGAAGGACUUCAUCAAGGCCACAGUCAAGUCGUGUAUUUAAGAUAUAGGAGUUAGCGGAGUGUAGAUGUCUACAUAGUAUACCUAUAGAUUAUAAAAGGACAUAGCUAUAUAUUAUUACAAUAAUAAUAUAUUAUGAAUAAUAAAAAAUAAUAUGAAAUGAAGUGGAACGGAUAAACACCCGCUUUACUUUACAAGCUCAUAUCAUCGUGAGCAGGUGACUGUUCGGCCACAACACAUACAUAGUCGAGUAAGCACCACUUUACAUACUUAGACUAAUGCCCCCGGCGCCGCCCGGCCCCUACAACAGCACUAACUGACACACGUCACGUUGUCCGGCGCCGCCGAGUGGGCCUAUGUAAUUUUAUGUUGUAGGAAUAAUUCCCAUUAGACUAAGGAUAACCCAAGUAAAACAGCUCUAGGAUUGUAAGAUCGUUUUAUUUUAACUGUGCCUGUAUUAGUAGUUACGAUCACGUUUGUUGAUUAUGUUAUGAGGCAUACGGCUCGGUGUUAGCUCGUCACUGAUAUAUUUCCAUUAUAUACGCUAGAGUUAUCUAUGUUAUAAGUUAUAGUUCGAUAAUUGCAUAUUUUUUGACAUAAUCAGUUACAUAAUUGUAUGGAUUUGUAUUGGCAUAAAGCUGAGGCGCGAUCGUCGGCGGUUUAAAUUAUAAAGUUUAUAUUUAACUUGUUGUUUUGUUCGUAUUUUGGCUUAUGUUAUUGUAUUUACAUUGGAGCUCGGCCGACAGUCGCGCAGCAGCUUUAUGUGCCGGGACUUGUAAUGUUCUAAGUUUGAAAGUACAUUAACGUAUGUAAGUUUGUACUAACUCGAGCCGUAUCCAGUUCGCUGAGGAGUCACGUUCAUCCCUUUUUAUAUACAAUGAUAUGUACAAAGUUCAGGAAUAUUGGCACUGUGUGUUGUAAUAACUUUAUUUUACUAAAUCCAAAAUUACUAUAGUUGUAUCACUUGUAAUAAUCCGUAUAUUAUAAUAAGGAUUUAAUACUAGUGUUGUAAAAUCCAAAAUUAUUUUUUUAUUGGGAUCGGAGAAGACAUUGCAUUUGGCGUUCAUUAACUUGAGUUAUGUUUUGUUGGUGCAUGUUCGCAAGGAAACUAGGGACGCUGGGAUUGGUACAUUGUAAACUCUUUAUAACAAAUCACUUUACUAUGUAAUCGCCCCUUUGACGAACGUAUUCUAUUGAAUGACUUAAUAUGAACUUUUAUCCUUAUUAUGAGACUUCUUGUAUAAUCUGUGAAAACUCACAUUCGUUAUAAAGAGUUGACAUAUACUACAUGUUUAAUGUAUGUACUUGUAUAUUGUUUCCUAUUUGUUUUAAACGAUGUAUCGUUGUAAGUUAAUUUUCUUAACGCGGACGUAGUUUGGAAAGUUUCUCGCAGUUGGCACUAUCGCAAAAUAUAAUAUUCGAUUUAGGGUUGGUUAAGUGUACUUUAAGAAGUGUAAAUACUACACAGGUGUUGCAAUUUGGGGAUGGUGCGUGUGAAAUGUUUGACACAAUGUUUAACGCACGGAGCUGCGGUAGUCGCUUAGUUUCUUGAUGCUUAUACAAAUGAAGAAGCGACGCGCACUAGCCGGCUCGGUGCGGGGCCGUGCUCUCACUGUAUGCGUGUGCACGGCCCGCGAUGUAAAUGACUUUGUUUCGAUAAGUUAGCGUAACGUUCAGUACAUACGAUGUGUUCAUGUCCGCGGCAUUGCCCGCGACACUCCCAACCCGACAGGAUCCCCUUAGUGCAAUAAUCUAACGCGUAACAAUUUACAUGAAACUUUUUCCAAUCAUAUCAAUGUUUUAUGUUAUCCGAGCUUAGCUUGCAUUAUAGUAGACAGGCAAUUUUCUCAUUACACGGAAUAGUGUAUAAGUUUUAUUUUUCUCGGAGGAUCAAGCGCUUCUUAUAAUUUUAGGUGCUGCUAUAGCAUUUGAUAUUGUUUUAAUGUAACUUGUGGCCGAUGUCGCAAAGUCCCGUGGGUGAAGCUAACGUAGGUGCGGGAUCGGUCGAGCGGAGACGCGGCGCAAUGCGUUCCCUCAUAGAGGCGACCUGUUUUUGUCUAUAUUCGAUAGUCUCUAUCCGCGAACAGCAUUGCAGGCAUCAACCCUACACGUUAAACCACGGUUUAUCGCGUAGGGUUGUAGAGUCGUAUGUUCUGUUUGGUUCAGUUGGCAGCCGCCUCCCCGCGCGCUCGACUCCCCUAGCUCGUAAGAUAGGUUUAAUCAACAUUAAAUGUGUAUUUGUGAAUUUUUAACCUUAUUUCGGUUGAUGUUUCUUUAUAAAUGUGUAAAUGGCUGAGAUCUGUAGCGAUGUAGUGACCUGGAGUGAUAGCGAGUGACUGGUUCCCCUUUUACAAUUGGAUAAUAGAUAAUAAAGUAAAUAAAAGUUUGAAA